CGAGUGUCUAUGAUGGUUUUAAAUAUACUAUGAGCGAUUGCCAUGAAAAAAACUUUAAUCUGAGGCACUGA
rfam:Nelumbo nucifera unplaced genomic scaffold scaffold00020, whole genome shotgun sequence